UACGUAGGGGCGAGCGUUGUCCGGAUUUAUUGGGCGUAAAGAGCUCGUAGGCGGCUUGGCAAGUCGGGUGUGAAACCUCCAGGCUCAACCUGGAGACGCCACUCGAUACUGCCAUGGCUAGAGUCCGGUAGGGGACCACGGAAUUCCUGGUGUAGCGGUGAAAUGCGCAGAUAUCAGGAGGAACACCGGUGGCGAAGGCGGGUCUCUGGGCAACAACUGACGCUGAGGAGCGAAAGCGUGGGGAGCGAACAGG
rnacentral:rRNA from 1 species